rnacentral:rRNA from 1 species
CAACCCGUCUCUGUUGCAAAAGAGUGGGAAGAUUUCUAAGUAGAGGUGACAAGCCUAUCGAACUUAGAGAUAGCUGGUUGUUCAGGAAAAGAGUCCCAGCUCUACCUUAAGUUUUUUUUAUUAAUCUAAACAAACCUCUAAACUUAAGAGCUAUUCAAGUAAGGCACAGCUUACUUGAAACAGGAUACAACCUCCUACAUUGGGUAAACAAGAACAAAUUAAACAAAGUGGGCCUAAGAGCAGCCAUCUUCCAAAAAGCGUUAAAGCUUAACUUAUAUAUACUCGUAAUUCCAAUAGUUCUUAUUAACCCCUCACUAUUACUGAACCAUUUUAUAACCUUAUAAAAAUUAUUAUGCUAGAACUAGUAACAUGAGACUACCUUUCUCCUUAAUGUAAACUUAAACCAUAAUGGAUUAUCCACUGGUAUUUAACGUAACUGUCCUCACUAUAGCAACAUAUUUCUAGAAAACCCUAUAGACUCCAACGUUAACCUCACACUAGAACAUUACAGGAAAGAUUAAAAGAAAGAGAAGGAACUCGGCAAACCCCAGCCCCGCCUGUUUACCAAAAACAUCGCCUCUUGACUAACAUAAAAGGUCCAGCCUGCCCAGUGACAUAGUUCAACGGCCGCGGUACCCUAACCGUGCGAAGGUAGCAUAAUCACUUGUUCUCUAAAUAGGGACUAGUAUCAAUGGCAUCACGAGGGCUACACUGUCUCCUCUCUCCAAUCAGUGAAACUGAUCUCCCCGUGAAGAAGCGGGGAUUUAAAUAUAAGACGAGAAGACCCCAUGGAGCUUUAAACUUAAUAUACACCUCUAUUCUCCUACACCAACUAACCUUUAAAAGUCUGUGUAUUAGUUUUAGGUUGGGGGGACCGCGGAGUACAAUUUAACCUCCACGACAAACGGGCCAACGCCCUUAUCCAUGAAACACAAUUCUAAGAAUCAACAAUCUGAUGUUUUAUGACCCGACAAGUCGAUCAACGAACCAAGUUACCCUGGGGAUAACAGCGCAAUCUA